UACGUAGGGGGCUAGCGUUGUCCGGAAUCAUUGGGCGUAAAGAGCGCGUAGGCGGCCAGAUAAGUCCGGUGUGAAAGUCACAGGCUCAACCUGUGAAUGCCGCUGGAAACUGUCUGGCUAGAGUCCGGGAGGGGCGAGUGGAAUUCCUGGUGUAGCGGUGAAAUGCGCAGAUAGUCAGGAGGAACACCGAUGGCGAAGGCAGGUCUCUGGGCCACUACUGACGCUGAGAAGCGAAAGCAUGGGGAGCGAACAGG
rnacentral:rRNA from 1 species